GCCACAAUAAACAAGGAAGCAUCAAUUGACGUUAACCGUAGUUACUACCACAAGCGGUAAAUGUAACAAAUUGCAGUGUCAAGUGAAUACUGCAUUACGGAUGGUGAUAUCUUUAACAAUGAAGAGUGAACGUGAAUGGGGACCGAGUGGACAGAAAGUGGUGGACAUUACCAAGUCUAGGAAGGAGAAAGUAUAGCUGCCAAGGGAAUACAAACAAAGUGGCCUAAAAAUCUCAACCUACAGCUCGAAGCAAAUUUGUGAAAGCAGCGAACAGUUUUAAAAACUAAAAAAAUUGAGCUGCUAUAUGAAACAUUAAUGUAAAC